AAUUCUCUGGAGAGUCCUCAAAGAAGAGGCGCCGAAGGGUUAAGACUAUUAAAGUCAAUAUCUCAGGCAUAAGGGACAGAGUAAU
rnacentral:ncRNA from 1 species